AAGGGAGAGUACCACCCAUGAGAUAAAGGCCACAGAAUGAAGAGAGUGGCGGCCCACUCUCCAUUUCUGCUUGCCGUUUCCCUCGUCCCUCACCCAGAGCAAUGUCAAAGCAUGUGAUUGGGUGACUAAACAAUUUACAUCCUUGGAGAAGAUGACUUUGAAAUCCAGCUCUGAAAAAACUGCUCCAACAUCAGUGAUUUCUCAAAAGAAGUCUGGCAAACCGUCUCACAUCUAUCUUCCGACAUGCCUGUGAGGAAGAAACUGGAGCAAAUAAGAUGGAAGCACUGGCAAGGUCUCAAGACCAAGGGGAACUAUAUCUGGAUCUGACUUAAAGACUGUCAUGAGAUCCUGAACUUUAAGGCUGAGAACAUGAUGGGACGGGAUUUUAAGAUGAGACUUCUGAGAUGCAGAGAAUUUUAAUAACUCAUUCAAGACAUCACACAGCAAAUCAGAUGCUGGAAUUCACAUCUAGACCGAC